UAAAAAAUUGAAAAUCCAAUUCUCGCUAACAGGCGCCAAGUAAAAAAAGCCAAAAAACUAAAAUGACCCAUAUGAGAUUUGGGAUUGAGCGCUUUCUUAACCGAGCCGUCCCUGUCUUCUUCACUCUUCACCCUCAAAUCCUCUCUUCUCACGGACUAACUGUCUCACCAUUCUACACUGCUGACCGCCACUUCUCACGUACUCUCGAUGUCACCGUCACCGCUCACCGCAGCAGGGACUCGUCGCACCCUUCAGUCCUCGCCGUCUUCCAAUGAUCGCCAUCUUUGCCGUCUUCGCAUCGUCGCGUCAUCGCGUCUACGCCGGUCAUCUGCUCUUUCGUCGGUGGCAAAUAAGGUAGGUGAAAUGAGCAAGUAUAGCUUAAACCUUAGGCAUGUAAAACAGAAGCAGCAGCCAAAAAGGCCUCCCCUUAGAGCACCUUUUGGAUUUAAUGAUGAUGAAGAGAAUGAUGUUGAGAGAAAAAUCACUCUCCAAGGUAAGGCAUGUAAAACAGAAGCAGCAGCCAAAAAGGCCUCCCCUUAGAGCACCUUUUGGAUUCAAUGAUGAUGAAGAGAAUGAUGUUGAGAGAAAAAUCACUCUCCAAGGUAGCAAGAGAAAGACUCUUAAGGACGUUGAGGAGCAGCAAAAGAAAGCCUUAGAAGAAGAUCCAACUGUAUUUGAUUAUGAUGGAGUCUAUGACAAAAUAACAGAGAAAGUUGCCCGCCCAUUGAUACAAGAUCGCAAAGGGAGAAAAGUUACAAAGAAGGACUUUUUGCUUGAUUUUUAUACAAUCCUGGAUAAAAAUGUUGCAUAUGGUGCACAAGAUCCUCGAGGGAGAAAACAUUAUAAUCGAGCUGAACAAAGAACUGUAGAGACAUGCGAAAGUGGAAGCCAAGGUAAUCUAUGACAGGGAAAGUGGAAGAUCAAGACGCUUUGGAUUUGUCACUUACAGCAGCCUUGAAGAGGUCAACAGUGCUAUUGAGUCCUUAGAUGGCGUGGUAAGCAUGCGAAUCUACUCCUAGUAUCCCGUUUGCUAAUCACAAAUAACAAUUUAAUGAGUUUGAACUUGUCCAUUUGUAUAUGUUACAUCAUAUCAUUGUUUGAUUAUUUUGUAUUAGUUAUUUGUUCUUGAAAACAUAUGAAAAAGCUAAUAUUUCUGCAUUUUCUUAUUGCAACAUGUAUAUACUUUUUUUUUGUUCUAUGGAAUCAUGAGCUUCCCUUGACAUAUGAUUUCCAUAAUUAUACGCUUCAAAGCAUGGAUGAUGAAUUUCGUGACAUUGUUAGUCUUAGGUUGGUGGAACUUGUGGACAUGUUCUUUGUGCAGUGGAUAUGCCAAGUCUUAGGAUCAUAUUUGUACAGCCAGGUUGCAAUAUCUCUAAAGAAAUGAGUAAAUACGUAUGGAAGCAGGAUCAUAUUUUGCGUCAAAUUAGCGAUGAUUUUACGACUCUUUUUGUAGUAGCUAAUCGGCCAUAUUCUUGUAGUGCCUCUCUCUAUUGUUGAUGAUCAGUUUGUUCCGAAGGUUGGAAUGAUCUUUACCACCCUUGAAGAUGCUGAAAAAUUUUACAGGAACUACGCCAAGGUUGCAGGUUUUUCUACAAGAGUUCGGAGCACAAAUAGAAAGGAAAACGAGAUUAAGAAUCAAUUGAUUACAUGUAGCAGAGAGAAAAAAUGGAAAUCUAAAAUAUCUCCGACCGAGAAGACGAAUCCGACAGCCGGUUUAAACUGUCCUGCAAGAAUUUAUAUACACACAUUGAAGGAUGUUGGUGCUUGGAUCAUUUCAAAGAUUGUGCUGGAUCAUUCACACCCUUGUUGUCCAAGUAAAGUAGAGAUGCUCAAACAGCACAGGGAACUAAGCAUGUCCAUUCAUCGUACAAUAGAGAAUAACGAGGAGGCUGGUAUCAGAUCAAGCAAAAUUUACCAAUCAUUUGUUGCGGCUGCAGGGGGUCACCGUGAGUUAAAUUUUAUUGAAAAGGAUGUGAGGAAUUACAUUACCAGGGAUGUGCGGAAUGUUUCCGAACAAGAAGAUACAAAGGAAUUCGGGAAAUAUUUGUUAUGAAUGAAAGAGAAGAAUCAGAAUUUCUUUUUUGAGCUUGAACUCGAGGAGGAUCAAUCGAUUAAGCUGGCUUUUUGGGCCGAUGCAAGAAGUAGAGCUGCCUUUGAGUAUUUCGGAGAUAUUAUUUCAUUUGACACCACCUACAAUACAAACAGAUAUAAUUUGGUUUGUGGUUCUUUUGUCGGGGUGAAUCACCAUGGUCAGUCAACACUUCUUGGAUGCUCUUUGAUAAAAAAUGAAGAAAUUGAAUCAUUCAAAUGGUUAUUUCAAUGUUGGCUUCGUUGCAUGGGAGGAAAUGCUCUGAAAGGGUUUUUCACCGAUCAAUGCGCAUCAAUGAAAAGGGCUUUAGAGGCCUGUAUGCCAACAACAAUUCACCGUUGGUGUAUUUGGCACAUCAUGAAGAAGAUUCCAAACAAAUUAAACGGCUAUAAAGGACAUGCAGAUAUUGAACAACAAAUGAGCCAAGUUGUUUGGAACUCUUAUAGCAAAGACUCAUUUGAUAGGAAUUGGAAUGAUUUUCUGCUAAAUUUUGGUCUUGUGGACAAUAAGUGGCUUUCAGGUAGUGUUGUUUUAAAAUCUGCAGCAGAGGUGUAAAUUUAAUUUUUAUCGGGUGUAUUUAUAGUCUGUGUUUGGGUGUAUUCUUCAGAUCUCUAUGAAAACCGUCAUAUAUGGGUUCCAAUCUAUCUGGAUCACCACUUCUGGGUAGAGAUGAGAAGCACACAAAGAAGCGAGAGCAUGCAUUCAUUUUUUAACAAGUUUAUUACCCGUAACAGCUCGCUUAUUCAAUUCGUCAAACAAUACGAUAAUUGCCUCAGAAGUAGGGAGCAAGUAGAAAGAGAAUCAGAUGCUGCAGAUUUUCAUACGGUCAUACCGUGUGCAACCAAAUCCUCCAUUGAAGCUCAAUUUUAA